rnacentral:rRNA from 1 species
GAUGAACGCUGGCGGCGUGCCUAAUACAUGCAAGUCGAGCGAAUGGAUUAAGAGCUUGCUCUUAUGAAGUUAGCGGCGGACGGGUGAGUAACACGUGGGUAACCUGCCCAUAAGACUGGGAUAACUCCGGGAAACCGGGGCUAAUACCGGAUAACAUUUUGAACCGCAUGGUUCGAAAUUGAAAGGCGGCUUCGGCUGUCACUUAUGGAUGGACCCGGGUCGCAUUAGCUAGUUGGUGAGGUAACGGCUCAACAAGGCAACGAUGCGUAGCCGACCUGAGAGGGUGAUCGGCCACACUGGGACUGAGACACGGCCCAGACUCCUACGGGAGGCAGCAGUAGGGAAUCUUCCGCAAUGGACGAAAGUCUGACGGAGCAACGCCGCGUGAGUGAUGAAGGCUUUCGGGUCGUAAAACUCUGUUGUUAGGGAGGAACAAGUGCUAGUUGAAUAAGCUGGCACCUUGACGGUACCUAACCAGAAAGCCACGGCUAACUACGUGCCAGCCGCCGCAGUAA